UUUGGAAUCUAGAAGUCGUUCCUCCCCUAGGGCUGCGUGCCUAUACCCAGGAACUACCCUCUCCAUGUUCCUCCUCCCCAGCAUGUCCCCAGAUGCCACAGCCACUACUCUGCCCUCCACUUCUGAGACCACCUUCCAGCUCCCACCUGGAAGUGAGAACAUGCAGUGAGAGUUUCAUCUCUUCAGUCUUUCAGGUUUGAAGUCCCCCAGGGCAGGCACAACAACCACAUCCCAGCUACUUGGGACACUGUGGGUCUGGAGACUGGAAGCAGAGACCACAGCGCUGGCUUGCUGGUUCCUAGUGAGGACCUCCUUCCCUGCUCACAAAGGGCCACCUUCUCCCUCAGUCCUUGCUUAGUGGAGAGAGAGAGCUCUCUCUGUCCCUUCUCAGAAGGGCACUAAUUCUAUUGGAUCGGGGCUCACCC
rnacentral:lncRNA from 1 species